UACGUAGGGUGCGAGCGUUGUCCGGAAUUAUUGGGCGUAAAAGGGCUCGUAGGUGGCCAACUAAGUCAGACGUGAAAUCCCUCGGCUUAACCGGGGAACUGCGUCUGAUACUGGAUGGCUUGAGUUCGGGAGAGGGAUGCGGAAUUCCAGGUGUAGCGGUGAAAUGCGUAGAUAUCUGGAGGAAUACCGGUGGCGAAGGCGGCAUCCUGGACCGGCAUUGACGCUGAGGAGCGAAAGCCAGGGGAGCAAACGGG
rnacentral:rRNA from 1 species